UGACGUCAUAACUGAGCUGUGAACAGUGAGAAGUAGAUCUGUCAUCCGCAGGAGGAAGUACAUGUAUUGGAGGAUAAUGGUUAUUGUCAUUUCUCAACUACAAUCUGUCUGUCUCAGGCCUUUCUUUGUGUAACCGCAAAAACAAUGGAAACAGUGUUUGGGUCAUGUAGAAUAAGAACACACACCAGCUUGGCCACGUAGUUCACCACCAGCACGUCGAUCUUCUUCUUCCCCAGGCGAGGCAGGUGUCUGUUGAGGUGCUCUCUCAGCUUGUCCACCAUCUAUAGGAAACACAACACUUCACAUUGAAGGAAGGAGAGUGGAGCAGGAGCCUACUGGGACUUACAUACACACUGCAGGCCUAUGAGCGCCCUCUGCUGGCUGUCCUCCUCCUGGAACAACGGAACCACUUUCUGGUCUGCAGAGGAACAACAUAACACCGUGGAUUUAGACUUUUCAUUACAUCUCAAAGAGUUGGACAUAAGGCAAAACAAACAGUCAUGAGUCAGGACGAGGAAGAGGAUCGCCUAAUGAUUUAAGAGAGAUGAGCUUCCAUGUCUUCUCCCUGGACCUCCUCAAUGUCCACCUCUUAAACAUCAGACUGAGG